GCGAAAGCAGGUCAUAGUGAUCCGGUGGUUCUGAAUGGAAGGGCCAUCGCUCAACGGAUAAAAGGUACUCCGGGGAUAACAGGCUGAUACCGCCCAAGAGUUCAUAUCGACGGCGGUGUUUGGCACCUCGAUGUCGGCUCAUCACAUCCUGGGGCUGAAGUAGGUCCCAAGGGUAUGGCUGUUCGCCAUUUAAAGUGGUACGCGAGCUGGGUUUAGAACGUCGUGAGACAG
rnacentral:rRNA from 1 species